CUGUGUUAAGAUGUCGGGAAUGUGUUAGACAAAUGAUUUUGUUUUAUGGAGCUUUGAAGAGCGAUGAAUGGCACUAAAGUGGUGCCAAAUGGAUAUCUCAAACACCCAUUGUUGAUGUGUGAUGCUGAUAAUACAGAGACAGCUAGAGUGACAGAGUUUGAUGAAUAAACUUAAAUUAAAAAACAGAAAUAACCACCAUCUCUCUCAGAGGUCAUCUUUCUCAUUAUUGUGGGGAAACCUCAAAGGGCAUCAGGAAAACCUUCAUCAACCUCUUUGUGCGCAGUGGCUUGUGCAACAGUGUUUCAGAAAUUAUCAUUAAAAUGGGGAUAAUGGAUGACUGGCCACACAUAUGGGGCUAUGGACAAGCUUCAGAGCAGGCUGCCAGGUGGUGGUGUUAGUAGUUUAAACUCCGGGUCCCGGCGUGGGCACAUUGAAGGGUCCCUGAGUGACAGUUCAACCAUCGCACACCUAUCCUGGGCAGAACCAGUACUACGUGCCUUCACCUCUGCAAGGAACUGACAACUUCUGUACAUGACAGGUGCAGUGGUGCAGUGGUACAGUGCGAAUGGUCGUAGAAAGGAUUUCAUAACCAAUCACAACAGAGGUGACCUGGUACGCCCGGGAAUCGAACCCGGGUUGUCCAAUUCAGAGUCCAACGCUCUACCGAUUGAGCUGACCGGGCGGACAUAUUAGCUACAUUAGAUGAUAAGCCAUCUGUGCUGGACAUUCUUCACAAUAAAAUGUGAUGUCACAUGAGCUGUCUAUCUCAACAGCUCACACUGUCCGUAUUUGACUAAAGGAAUGAAUGAAGUCACUGCAGAAGUUAGAUUGAGGAAUGUCCAUGUCACUACCCAUCAUUUGGAAGGAGUUGGAUAAAAAAAGUGUGGCCUAUGUAUUGAAACAGGUCCGAUUUCCAGUUACGGACAGUCUUGAUUUGUCUGAUUACAUUUUUGACCAACAUGAUGGCCUAAAAGAACACUUACUGGUAACUGGUAAAAUCAUGGCCCAGUUGUUCCAAGAGGCAGGCGAGUGGGAAGUUACUAGACUCCAUUUCUUUAUGGGUUGAUCUGAGGUUCCAGUUCAGUUAAAGUACUGAUGGAACACCAAGUGUUUGCCAUAAUACAGCAACAUUUGAUUUGUAACUAUGUAUUUGUUUGAAUUGUUGAAACAGUACUGUUUACUAAAUAAUGUGUAUGUAUAUGAAGAAUAAUAUUAUAAAUAAUUUGUAAGAACCUUUUGAUAUUAAGUAAAAUGUUGAUAAGUCUAAAUAUGUAUCUGCGAAUCAUUUUUGUAUAUCUGUAAAGAUUACAUUGCCUAUAUUUCUCAAUUUAUAUUUUUCUUUUAGCCAGUCAAUAACUUUUCUUAAGUUCUAUCUUCAAAAUUGUCGGGACAGGGAUUAUAGCCCUUAAUUAACCCAAAUAUGUAACAUUCAAUGCAAAAUUUCUAAUUGGCUGCAUUUAGGCAGUUCAGAUGCAGGAACAAACAUCACUUGGGUCCUUAAUAAUAGCUUUCCAUCUGACAUUGAAGAUCCAAUAAAAGGAAUUUGUCAUGUGACUGUUUAUUAACUCUCAAUUUAUUGAAAGUGAAAUUACUUACAUGAUUUGUAAGAACUAAAUUAUAAUGAUAUCAAAUGAUUGUUUAAAUUAAAUAAAAUAGAUGAUUACAUACAUGAACUAUUUUUAUUUCUUGUUUGUCAAUAUGAAGAGUAAUGCAAUGGCUUUUGAAUUUCAUAAAAAAGGAUGGAAAAAUGUAUGUUUAUUGUUUAAGCAAUUAAUUAAGUAAUAAAAGGAUUUUUUUUUCUUUUUUUCAAAUUGUGCUAUCUUAUAAUACAGAUCGUUAUUUGUUUAAUUUUGGUACAAAUGAAGUAUAUAAGGUAUGUCUAAUGUUACAAAUAGCAAAAAUUCAAAUGCAAAUCAUGGUGACUUGACUAAAUGUGAAUGCUAAUUGAAUCAAACUAGUUAAUAAAUAAUAAUGUUAAUUUGAAACAAUUGAGAGUAUAAGUUUGGUUUGUGU